UACAGAGACCUCAAGCGUUAUCCGGAAUCAUUGGGCGUAAAGCGCGUGUAGGCGGCUCGGUAAGUCCGGUGUGAAACCUUGGGGCUCAACCCCAAGCCUGCACUGGAUACUGUCGAGCUCGAGUCCGGGAGGGGAGAGCGGAAUUCCUAGUGUAGCGGUGAAAUGCGCAGAUAUUAGGAAGAACACCGGUGGCGAAGGCGGCUCUCUGGAACGGUACUGACGCUGAGACGCGAAAGCGUGGGGAGCGAACAGG
rnacentral:rRNA from 1 species